GAUGAACGCUGGCGGCGUGCCUAAUACAUGCAAGUCGAGCGAACGGACGAGAAGCUUGCUUCUCUGAUGUUAGCGGCGGACGGGUGAGUAACACGUGGAUAACCUACCUAUAAGACUGGGAUAACUUCGGGAAACCGUAGCUAAUACCGGAUAAUAUUUUGAACCGCAUGGUUCAAAAGUGAAAGACGGUCUUGCUGUCACUUAUAGAUGGAUCAGCGCUGCAUUAGCUAGUUGGUAAGGUAACGGCUUACCAAGGCAACGAUGCAUAGCCGACCUGAGAGGGUGAUCGGCCACACUGGAACUGAGACACGGUCCAGACUCCUACGGGAGGCAGCAGUAGGGAAUCUUCCGCAAUGGGCGAAAGCCUGACGGAGCAACGCCGCGUGAGUGAUGAAGGUCUUCGGAUCGUAAAACUCUGUUAUUAGGGAAGAACAUAUGUGUAAGUAACUGUGCACAUCUUGACGGUACCUAAUCAGAAAGCCACGGCUAACUACGUG
rnacentral:rRNA from 1 species